AACGAACGCUGGCGGCAUGCCUAACACAUGCAAGUCGAACGAUCCCUUCGGGGAUAGUGGCGCACGGGUGCGUAACGCGUGGGAACCUGCCCUUAGGUUCGGAAUAACUCAGAGAAAUUUGAGCUAAUACCGGAUAAUGUCUUCGGACCAAAGAUUUAUCGCCUUUGGAUGGGCCCGCGUUGGAUUAGCUAGUUGGUGGGGUAAAGGCCUACCAAGGCGACGAUCCAUAGCUGGUCUGAGAGGAUGAUCAGCCACACUGGGACUGAGACACGGCCCAGACUCCUACGGGAGGCAGCAGUGGGGAAUAUUGGACAAUGGGCGAAAUCCUGAUCCAGCAAUGCCGCGUGAGUGAUGAAGGCCUUAGGGUUGUAAAGCUCUUUUACCCGGGAUGAUAAUGACAGUACCGGGAGAAUAAGCCCCGGCUAACUCCGUG
rnacentral:rRNA from 1 species